rnacentral:rRNA from 1 species
GAUUAACGCUGGCGGCGUGCCUAACACAUGCAAGUCGAACGAGGUAGCAAUACCUAGUGGCAGACGGGUGAGUAACGCGUGGUCAACCUACCGUUGAGUGGGGGAUAACUAGCCGAAAGGUUAGCUAAUACCGCAUACGUCUCCGAGAGGCAUCUCUUGGCGAUAAAAGGAGCAAUCCGCUCGAUGACGGGACCGCGUCCCAUUAGCUAGAUGGUGGGGUAACGGCCUACCANGGCUCCGAUGGGUAGCUGGUUUGAGAGAGCGACCAGCCACACUGGGACUGAGAAACGGCCCAGACUCCUACGGGAGGCAGCAGUGAGGAAUUUUCCGCAAUGGGCGAAAGCCUGACGGAGCGACGCCGCGUGUGGGAAGAAGGCCUCGGUCGUAAC